AGCGAACGCUGGCGGCAGGCCUAAUACAUGCAAGUCGAACGGCUCUUCGGAGCAGUGGCGGACGGGUGAGUAACGCGUGGGAAUGUGCCCUUUGGUACGGAACAACACAGGGAAACUUGUGCUAAUACCGUAUGUGCCCUUCGGGGGAAAGAUUUAUUGCCAUUGGAGCAGCCCGCGUUGGAUUAGCUAGUUGGUGGGGUAAAGGCUCACCAAGGCUACGAUCCAUAGCUGGUCUGAGAGGAUGAUCAGCCACACUGGGACUGAGACACGGCCCAGACUCCUACGGGAGGCAGCAGUAGGGAAUCUUGCGCAAUGGGCGAAAGCCUGACGCAGCCAUGCCGCGUGAAUGAUGAAGGUCUUAGGAUUGUAAAAUUCUUUCACCGGGGAAGAUAAUGACGGUACCCGGAGAAGAAGCCCCGGCUAACUUCGUGCCAGCCGCCGCAGUAAUAC
rnacentral:rRNA from 1 species